GUCCUAAGGUAGCGAAAUUCCUUGUCGGGUAAGUUCCGACCCGCACGAAAGGCGAAACGAUCUGGACGCUGUCUCAACAAGGGACUCGGUGAAAUUGAAAUACCGGUAAAGAUGCCGGUUACCUGCGAUAGGACAGAAAGACCCCAUGGAGCUUUACUGUAGCUUGAUAUUGGGUUUCGGACAUUUAUGUACAGGAUAGGUGGGAGACAGAGAGACGUGUUCGCCAGAAUGCGAGGAGUCACUGGUGGGAUACCACCCUUAAAUGUUUGGAAUUCUAACGAGGCGUGUUAACCACGUUUUGGACAGUGUCAGGUGGGCAGUUUGACUGGGGCGGUCGCCUCCCAAAAGGUAACGGAGGCGCUCAAAGGUUCCCUCAGAACGGAUGGAAAUCGUUCGAAGAGUGUAAAGGCAAAAGGGAGCUUGACUGCGAGAGCAACAACUCGAGCAGGUAGGAAACUAGGACUUAGUGAUCCGGCGGUUGCGAGUGGAAGUGCCGUCGCUCAACGGAUAAAAGCUACCCUGGGGAUAACAGGCUUAUCUCCCCCAAGAGUCCACAUCGACGGGGAGGUUUGGCACCUCGAUGUCGGCUCAUCACAUCCUGGGGCUGUAGUUGGUCCCAAGGGUUGGGCUGUUCGCCCAUUAAAGUGGUACGCGAGCUGGGUUCAGAACGUCGUGAGACAGUUCGGUCCCUAUCCGUCGCAGGCGUAGGAAAUUUGAGAAGAUCUGUCCUUAGUACGAGAGGACCGGGAUGGACAUACCUCUGGUGUACCAGUUGUUCUGCCAAGGGCAUGGCUGGGUAGCUAUGUAUGGAAGGGAUAAGCGCUGAAAGCAUCUAAGCGCGAAGCCAACUUCAAGAUAAGAUUUCCCACCGCAAGGUUAAGAUCCCAGGAAGACUACCUGGUUGAUAGGUCAGAGGUGUAAGUGCAGCAAUGUAUGUAGCUUACUGAUACUAAUAGAUCGAGGACUUGACCAA
rnacentral:rRNA from 1 species